rnacentral:rRNA from 1 species
ACGUAGGAUGCAAGCGUUGUUCGGAAUUACUGGGCGUAAAGCGUAUGUAGGCGGUUGUAUAAGUCUUUUCUUAAAGACCGAAGCUUAACUUCGGGAGUGUAAAGGAAACUGUAUAACUAGAGGUCAGAAGGGGAAAUCGGAAUUCUUAGUGUAGCGGUGAAAUGCGUAGAUAUUAGGAAGAACACCGGUGGCGAAAGCGGAUUUCUGGUCUGAAACUGACGCUGAGAUACGAAGGUGUGGGGAGCAAACAGGAUUAGAUACCCUGGUAGUCCACACAGUAAACGAUGGAUACUAGCUAUAAUGGGAAUCGACCCCUGUUGUGGCGUAGCUAACGCGAUAAGUAUCCCGCCUGGGGAGUAUGACCGCAAGGUUG